CUUGUCCAGCGCUUCCACAGUUGCACAGAAUCGCGACAAUCGGUUUAGGUUCAGGUACCUCAUUCAAGUUUGAACACAGAACAGCGGGAACAAACGUUACGACUCGCGCAGGACGCCGCGGCUGGCUAACGGAGCAGACGUAGCGGUCUGAGGCGCCGCCGCCGUUCCCCCUGAGACCCAUAAUGAAUGCAGAGUGGGCAUCGCUGUGCGUGCGGACUGGGCGCGUGCAGAAGGAACGUUCCGGACUCCGAUUCCCAGCUAACGGCAGGUUCCACUGCGGAUUUCCAUGGAAGCGAAAGCUCAGCAGCUCUGACUGAGAGACGCGUUAAGAAUCCGUGGGAAUGAAAUCACACGGCGCGCUUGACACUUCACCGCGCUCCGGCGCUGCGGAGCGAGCGUGUGUCAAAGAGGGAAAGGCUCAGCAAUCCCAGAAUGCCUUGCUGCACGGAGGCGACUCCUCUCCGCUCUGUGCUGUAAAAUGUCGGUCGAUUUGUCGACUUUCUAGCUCCCCCCCCUGCCUGAGAACUCUUCAGUAUAAUCUAUGCCAGAGUGUGUGGGAGGAGAGUUACUAUGACUAUAACGCUCUAACCCUCAGGUGCCGAGGUGCUGUCUGUUGUCUGCUCCAAUAAUUCCCGGUGGUAAAUUAUGUCUGAUCUACGCUGCGCUGAAAUGACCGUAGGCACUGAACUGGACCGGCUAGUCAGUUUGUUGGUUCGUAAAAGGACAGCGCCAUUAUCUGUGUGAAUGAAGUGAAUGAGAAAAUAAGGCUCCCCUUUACUCAACGCUGACACAUCCUUCGCUGGGUAAGGACAAGCCACGCCCUUUUGUUUGUUUAUAAGGAGAAGGGAAAGGCUUCUUCUUAUUGUAUCUUAAAGCACAGCGUUCCACAGCCAGGCUGUUCAUGCUCUAUUUAUUUUUUUUUAAACGCAGCUGUCGACAUAAAAUAUGAAUCCCAAGAAUAGUGUGAGUUCAGCCAUGUGUUUGACAUCAUAAAUACUUUAGAACCAUCUUUGAAUAAAUAAUGCCGUACACUCAUAAUAUUUUGGAAUUUAAAUGGGUUGGUGAAAAUAUGGAUAAUUGCUUCAUUACAGGAAAUGUAUUUGAAUUUCUUCAAAAAGGCCCAAUGAUUUUUUUUUUUUAUUAUGUAUUUUUAUCUAGGGUGCGUUUAUAUCAGCCUGGCAAUGUGUAAUGCUUUCCAUUCAAAUGUAAAAUACAAGCAGACUAUCGACCACAAUGCAACCAUGAUAUGAACGAUUCAUGUACAAACAUGCUGGAAAUUAAAAUGGAUACACAUACUGGAGAUGUGCUGUGUCAUAAAGUAGUUAAGUACUUGCCCUUGUAUUGAGGGUUUGAUAUCCAGGUAGCGCACUACUGUUGUACCCUGAGAAAGGUUUCUCAACCUGAAGUGCUUCAGUAAAAUAUCCAGCUGUAUAAAUCUAUCAAAUGUAAUCUUUGUAAAAUUCUCUGGAUACAAGUGACUGCUGAAAUCCUGAAAUGCACAGUUUUACUUAAAAGAAGAAUGUUAUUGUGUUCCCAAUCAUUGGCAUUAUUAAACACAAUAAAAAUUAAAAAGGUGGAUAUCCA